rnacentral:rRNA from 1 species
GACGAACGCUGGCGGUGUGCUUAACACAUGCAAGUCGAACGGUAAGGCCCUUUCGGGGGUACACGAGUGGCGAACGGGUGAGUAACACGUGAGUAACCUGCCCUCAUCUCUGGGAUAACAGUCGGAAACGGUUGCUAAUACUGGAUAUGAGCUUGCAAGGCAUCUUGUGGGUUGGAAAGAUUUUUUUGGUUGGGAAUGGACUCGCGGCCUAUCAGCUUGUUGGUGAGGUAGUGGCUCACCAAGGCUUCGACGGGUAGCCGGCCUGAGAGGGCGACCGGCCACAUUGGGACUGAGAUACGGCCCAAACUCCUACGGGAGGCAGCAGUGGGGAAUAUUGCACAAUGGACGGAAGUCUGAUGCAGCAACGCCGCGUGCGGGAUGACGGCCUUCGGGUUGUAAACCGCUUUCAAUUGUGACGAAGCUUUUUGUGACGGUAGCAGUAGAAGAAGCACCGGCUAACUACGUG